GUCUGUUGGAAAGAGAUGAAUGGUGAUCCAUAUGGAUAUCUUCAUUUUCUUGACAUCAUUCUGGGUGAACUUGCCAAGAGGCAAUGCUGCAAUGAACACCUUUCUACAAGUCUUUUUGUGGAUACAAGCAAGUAUUGCUCCGGAUGGGAUGAUGAGAAUUGCUGGGUCAUAAAGCAUAUGUGUUUUAAA